GGAUCAACCUCAUGACGACGCCUAAUAAUAAUAAUAAUAAUCACAAUACUAAAAGCACAAUAUGGUGAGCAGAGAGUGUGCCACCUCAUCAAAAAUAAUCAGCCAAUAAGAAUAUUUCAUUUCGGGUCUGGGCUUCAGUUUUGUUUCGAAUGGGCUUUGAUAUGUCUUCGGCUCUGGGCUUCGUGUUCGUUUAGAAAUUAGAAUUGGCACAUCAGCAGAUGUGAGCCCCACUUUAUAUUGAUUUGGUUUGGUAUCUAACUAAUGUUGUUUGUUUAAUUUGAGUUUUAUUUUUCUACGGUUUAAUUUUUUUCCCGUACGGUUCUCUUAAUGUCGUUGGUUCUCUUACGGUUCUAGGGUUAUCGUUUUUUGACUCUUCUUCACCCUCGCCGUUCCUCAAAACUCGGUCUGUAAACCCAAAGUUUUCUUUUUACAACUCUUAACCUCCCCUAACGUAGAUUCAACGUAUUCUACUUAAUUCCCCAUUAAUCCAGUAAUAAUGUAAACCUCUCUGUUUCCUUCAUUUGAUCUAUAAAUUGGAGAGGAUUCCGGGUGGGAUGAAUCUUCACAAUCACUUUCGAUUCAUCUUCCAUAUCAAGCAUACAAAGAUCCUUUGAUAAAGUCGUCCACAGAUGCUUUGAAGAGGCAGAUGACUAACUAUAUGCUUCAGGACGAUUAAAAUCAUCAGAAGAGUUUGGUCUGAUUCUACGCUUCUGGUUCGAUAGAUGAGCAAAAAAAUGAGUCAGAACCAUUGAUUUGAUCGAGCAGAGGCAGAGCGUCUGAAGCUUUGAUGCAUCAUCGAGAAACAUCUUUUGAGUCUUAGAGAGUUUCAGAGUUUCAGGGGAACAGAUUUAGGAUGAUAAAGGCAAGCCAAACCUAGCCAAAUUCUACGGUGAUAUGUCUUCGUUUCUUUGAAAUUUUAAUUUCUUACGUGGACGACUGUGACCUAUUCUCAACUUAUGAUUUGCGGUUACAGCUACAGAAGCAAUACGAGCUCAUAAGCAACGUAUUUUCAGCGUGAUACACAUUUAAGGAAGUGACAGAGUCAUCGAGUCAGUCAUGGAAUAUGCUGCCAAAGAAAACUGUGGGAUGCUGUACCGUUACUGCAAAGCUAUGGGAGAAGGGCUCCAUCAGGAGGACAGGGUGUUGAGGAAGGCCGUAGAGAAAACAAAAAAGAGGGUGAUGAAGUAACAGAGAAUCUCCUGGACAUUGACCCGCUAGAAAACAUGGUUAGACUUAGAGAUGAUGUUUUCAAGUGUAGAAGAAUAAAGAAAGAAAAACUUCAAAGGAUAAGGAGGAGUUGACGACCAAAGUGGACCACCAAGACCACCAAUAUUGUUGAUGAGAAGGUCGAUAUGUUUGCCAUUGGUGUAUUGGUUCUAUAAGUCAUAACCAGUCGUAGAGUUGUUGAUACAACAGAAGCCAUGUCAGGGGUGGUUGUGAAUGCGUGCUAUUUUCAGGAUCACACAGCCCCCUCAUACCUCAACGAACUCAUCCGCCACGGGCAACUCCUAAUGGAGUGAGUAGAAACAAUCAAAUAAAACUUAAAUGUCUGGUAACUAAUGUGCUUAUGCCUUGCCUUAGUCCCCCUUGAUUGAGUUUUGCUUCUUAAGAUUCUCAAUUGGUUGCUUCUUUUAUUUCAGUCAACCAAACGGUGAAUAUCACCUAGAUGUGUCUCUAUGUUGUUCUACUGAUUUUUGUUUAGGCUCAAACCUCGGAGCAGUUGUCAAUAUUCUACAAAGUUCAUGUAGUUUUAAUCUAAGCAUAAAAUUAAACCCCA